rnacentral:tRNA from 1 species
GAUCGAAUAGCUAAGAUGGUUAUAGCAGGCGGUUCAUACCCGUCGUUCGUGGGUUCGAUUCCCACUUCACAUG